UUAGGAGGGGACUCGGCGAGUUGGUGCACGACUCGCCGAGUAGGGCCAUGGUCUUGGUCGCAGACGCGCGACUGGACUCGACGAGUCCAAUAAGGGACUCGGCGAGUCGACGCUGUUCAGCUGAACCCUAGCCGUUUCGAUUCUGAACCGUAUAUAAUGAUAUUAUGGCCGUCAUGUCGGGUCUUUUGGCCGAUUGAAGAUCCCCUGGGAGUGUGUGAGCAUCUAAAGCAAGAGAGAGGACUUGAGAAGGCUUGAAGAGAUUGUUAGACAAGGAGGAGCAAGGUGGUGAUCAAAGGAAUCGAGUACUGGAGGUUUGGAGACACAGGAAACACGUUUCCAGGGAACCUGCGGACUAGCGGAUUGUGUGCAAGUAGCUCGAAGAGGUUAUAGCCUGCGUACUACGAGAGACAUCAUGGUUAUCACACGCAAUGGGGCGAGUUCGAGCGGUGCGAGUGACGAGGAGAUUCGUCAGAUUAUUCAGGAAGAGGUAGCUGCGGCGGUCCGGGCUGAGAUCCCGGAGAUGUUUGGGUCUAUUAAGACCACGUUGAUGGAGGAGUUUGAGGAGCGGUGCGCCGCAAUUUCUGAAGCUGCA